GAUGAACGCUGGCGGCGUGCCUAAUACAUGCAAGUCGAGCGAACAGACGAGGAGCUUGCUCCUCUGACGUUAGCGGCGGACGGGUGAGUAACACGUGUAUAACCUACCUAUAAGACUGGGAUAACGUCGGGAAACCGGAGCUAAUACCGGAUAAUAUAUUGAACCGCAUGGUUCAAUAGUGAAAGACGGUUUUGCUGUCACUUAUAGAUGGAUCCGCGCCGCAUUAGCUAGUUGGUAAGGUAACGGCUUACCAAGGCAACGAUGCGUAGCCGACCUGAGAGGGUGAUCGGCCACACUGGAACUGAGACACGGUCCAGACUCCUACGGGAGGCAGCAGUAGGGAAUCUCCCGCAAUGGGCGAAAGCCUGACGGAGCAACGCCGCGUGAGUGAUGAAGGUCUUCGGAUCGUAAAACUCUGUUAUUAGGGAAGAACAAAUGUGUAAGUAACUAUGCACGUCUUGACGGUACCUAAUCAGAAAGCCACGGCUAACUACGUG
rnacentral:rRNA from 1 species